rnacentral:rRNA from 1 species
AUGCCUCAGAAGCUCUUGCUCGCACUCCCGGUGGCCUCGUGCAAGCUGCGCCACUACUUCCAAGGUCACCCCAUCAAGGUCAUUUCAGCUUACCUGUUGGAGAGAGUGCUCAGAAGCCCCAAUGCAGCGGGAAGGGUCGCCGAAUGGAACAUCGAGCUGCAAGCAUUUGAUCUGGAGUUCAUCACAACCAGGGUCAUCAAGGGGGCUUCUCUCGCCGACUUUGUGGCAGAAUGGACCGAUACCACAGAGCUCGAAGCAGGCAAGAACCGAUCCCUCUCGCGAGGGAGUGAAGCGCCAGAUGGCUGGGUCAUGUACUUCGAUGCCGCAUUUGCGCGCCAGGGCGCGGGGGAUGGAGUCGUGCUCAUCUGGCCCACUCAGGAUAAGCUUUACUACGCCGUGCAGCUCUGCUUCCAGCGGGGUGAGAAGGUCUCCAACAACAUCGCAGAGUACGAGGGUAUCAUCGCCGGCCUCAAGUCUGCGGUGGCCCUAGGGGUGAAACGCCUUACCAUCAAGGGAGACUCGCAGCUCCUCAUCAACUUCUCCAACAAGGUGUACGAGCCAAAGGAUGAGCACAUGGAGGCAUACCUCGCGGAGGGGCGCAAAAUGGAGAAGUAG